AGAGAGAGACAUGCGCGCAUAUCAAUAAGCGGAGGAAAAGAAACUAACAAGGAUUCCCCUUAGUAACGGCGAGUGAAGCGGGAAGAGCUCAAAUCUGAAAUCUUCAAGGGUUCUACCUUUACGAAUUGUAGUUUAAAGAAGUGUUUUCUGUUAGUGAGUUCGGCUAAAAGUUCUCUGGAAUAGGACAUCAUAGAGGGUGAGAAUCCCGUAUUUGGUCAUUCCUUCUAACUUUGUGAUACACUUUCAAAGAGUCGGAUUGUUUGGGAAUGCAGUCCAAAAUGGGUGGUAAAUUUCAUCUAAAGCUAAAUAUUGGCGAGAGACCGAUAGCGAACAAGUACCGUGAGGGAAAGAUGAAAAGAACUUUGAAAAGAGAGUUAAACAGUACGUGAAAUUGUCAAAAGGGAAGCGUUUGACACCAGUGUUGUUUAGUUGAAAAUCAAUUCAAUAAUUUUUGAUUUUGAGUAGUAUUGACUUCAUCAGCUUGCUGCUCUCUUUUCGGAAAUUAUUGAAUGCACUUUUCAGUUAACAAGUCAACAUCAAUUUCUUUUGUUGUAAAAGGGUAAGAGGAAGGUGGCUUACGCUUCGGCGUAAGUGUUUAUAGCCUUUUACCUCUGCAAUCGGAGAGAUUGAGGUCUGCAGCGUAGACUCUUCGGGGUUAGAUACACUUGUGCUAAGCUAUAGCCUUGUAUAGACAACUUGUUGACUAUGCUCAGUCAUGUAGCUUACUCGCUUGUGCUAUUUUACCUACGCUUAGGAUGUUGAUCUGUAGUGCGUGCGC
rnacentral:rRNA from 1 species